GUGAACGCUGGCGGUAGGCCUCACACCUGCCAGUCGCACGGCAGCACAGUAAGAGCUUGCUCUUACGGGUGGCGAGUGGCGGACGGGUGAGGAAUACAUCGGAAUCUACUUUUUCGUGGGGGAUAACGUAGGGAAACUUACGCUAAUACCGCAUACGACCUACGGGUGAAAGCAGGGGAUCUUCGGACCUUGCGCGAUUGAAUGAGCCGAUGUCGGAUUAGCUAGUUGGCGGGGUAAAGGCCCACCAAGGCGACGAUCCGUAGCUGGUCUGAGAGGAUGAUCAGCCACACUGGAACUGAGACACGGUCCAGACUCCUACGGGAGGCCGCAGUGGGGAAUAUUGGACAAUGGGCGCAAGCCUGAUCCAGCCAUACCGCGUGGGUGAAGAAGGCCUUCGGGUUGUAAAGCCCUUUUGUUGGGAAAGAAAAGCAGCAGGUUAAUACCCCGCUGUUCUGACGGUACCCAAAGAAUAAGCACCGGCUAACUUCGUG
rnacentral:rRNA from 1 species